GAUGAACGCUGGCGGCGUGCUUAACACAUGCCAGUCGAACGGGAUCCAAGGGGUGCUUGCACUUUUUGGUGAGCGUGGCGCACGGGUGAGUCACACGUGAGUCACCUGUCCUUUUCUUUGGUAUCAGCAUUCGAAAGGGUGUUUAAUACCUUAUGUUCUGUCUGCCUCGCAUGGGGUGGUUGGGAACGGCUUUGGCCGGACUUGGGUGGGCUCGCGGUCUAGCUGCGUGUUGGGGGGGUGAUGGCUUACCAAGGCUUUGACCGGUAGCGGGCCUGAGAGGGUGGUCGGACAGAGUGGGACUGAGAUACGGUCCGGAAGCCAGCGGGAGGCAACAGUGGGGGAUAGUGCAAAAUGGGCGGAAGCCUGAUGCAGCGAGGGCGGGUGGGGGAUGAAGGCCUACGGGUUGUAAACUGGUAUGACUCUGAACAAGGGAUGCCAGGGGGUGUGUUGAGGUUAGGGGUUGAUAAGCGCCGGCUAACUACGUG
rnacentral:rRNA from 1 species